AGUGAACGCUGGCGGUAGGCCUAACACAUGCCAGUCGAACGGCAGCACAGUAAGAGCUUGCUCUUACGGGUGGCGAGUGGCGGACGGGUGAGGAAUACAUCGGAAUCUACUUUUUCGUGGGGGAUAACGUAGGGAAACUUACGCUAAUACCGCAUACGACCUACGGGUGAAAGCAGGGGAUCUUCGGACCUUGCGCGAUUGAAUGAGCCGAUGUCGGAUUAGCUAGUUGGCGGGGUAAAGGCCCACCAAGGCGACGAUCCGUAGCUGGUCUGAGAGGAUGAUCAGCCACACUGGAACUGAGACACGGUCCAGACUCCUACGGGAGGCAGCAGUGGGGAAUAUUGGACAAUGGGCGCAAGCCUGAUCCAGCCAUCCCGCGUGGGUGAAGAAGGCCUUCGGGUUGUAAAGCCCUUUUGUUGGGAAAGAAAAGCAGCAGGUUAAUACCCCGCUGUUCUGACGGUACCCAAAGAAUAAGCACCGGCUAACUUCGUG
rnacentral:rRNA from 1 species